rnacentral:rRNA from 1 species
GAUGAACGCUGGCGGCGUGCCUAAUACAUGCAAGUCGAGCGAACAGAUGAGGAGCUUGCUCCUCUGACGUUAGCGGCGGACGUGUGAGUAACACGUGGAUAACCUACCUAUAAGACUGGGAUAACUUCGGUAAACCGUAGCUAAUACCGGAUAAUAUAUUGAACCGCAUGGUUCAAUAGUGAAAGACGGUUUUGCUGUCACUUAUAGAUGGAUCCGCGCCGCAUUAGCUAGUUGGUAAGGUAACGGCUUACCAAGGCAACGAUGCGUAGCCGACCUGAGAGGGUGAUCGGCCACACUGGAACUGAGACACGGUCCAGACUCCUACGGGAGGCAGCAGUAGGGAAUCUUCCGCAAUGGGCGAAAGCCUGACGGAGCAACGCCGCGUGAGUGAUGAAGGUCUUCGGAUCGUAAAACUCUGUUAUUAGGGAAGAACAAAUGUGUAAGUAACUAUGCACGUCUUGACGGUACCUAAUCAGAAAGCCACGGCUAACUACGUG